GGGGGGGCAAUACUGCAAGUCGAGCGAGCUUGCCUAGAUGAUUUUAGUGCUUGCACUAAAUGAAACUAGAUACAAGCGAGCGGCGGACGGGUGAGUAACGCGUGGGUAACCUGCCCAAGAGACUGGGAUAACACCUGGAAACAGAUGCUAAUACCGGAUAACAACACUAGACGCAUGUCUAGAGUUUGAAAGAUGGUUCUGCUACCACUCUUGGAUGGACCUGCGGUGCAUUAGCUAGUUGGUAAGGUAACGGCUUACCAAGGCAAUGAUGCAUAGCCGAGUUGAGAGACUGAUCGGCCACAUUGGGACUGAGACACGGCCCAAACUCCUACGGGAGGCAGCAGUAGGGAAUCUUCCACAAUGGACGAAAGUCUGAUGGAGCAACGCCGCGUGAGUGAAGAAGGGUUUCGGCUCGUAAAGCUCUGUUGGUAGUGAAGAAAGAUAGAGGUAGUAACUGGCCUUUAUUUGACGGUAAUUACUUAGAAAGUCACGGCUAACUACGUGCCAGCAGCCGCGGUAAUACGUAGGUGGCAAGUGUUGUCCGGAUUUAUUGGGCGUAAAGCGAGUGCAGGCGGUUCAAUAAGUCUGAUGUGAAAGCCUUCGGCUCAACCGGAGAAUUGCAUCAGAAACUGUUGAACUUGAGUGCAGAAGAGGAGAGUGGAACUCCAUGUGUAGCGGUGGAAUGCGUAGAUAUAUGGAAGAACACCAGUGGCGAAGGCGGCUCUCUGGUCUGCAACUGACGCUGAGGCU
rnacentral:rRNA from 1 species